AUUGAACGCUGGCGGCAGGCCUAACACAUGCAAGUCGAGCGGUAGCACAAGAGAGCUUGCUCUCUGGGUGACGAGCGGCGGACGGGUGAGUAAUGUCUGGGAAACUGCCUGAUGGAGGGGGAUAACUACUGGAAACGGUAGCUAAUACCGCAUAACGUCUUCGGACCAAAGUGGGGGACCUUCGGGCCUCACGCCAUCAGAUGUGCCCAGAUGGGAUUAGCUAGUAGGUGGGGUAAUGGCUCACCUAGGCGACGAUCCCUAGCUGGUCUGAGAGGAUGACCAGCCACACUGGAACUGAGACACGGUCCAGACUCCUACGGGAGGCAGCAGUGGGGAAUAUUGCACAAUGGGCGCAAGCCUGAUGCAGCCAUGCCGCGUGUGUGAAGAAGGCCUUCGGGUUGUAAAGCACUUUCAGCGAGGAGGAAGGGUGGUGUGUUAAUAGCACAUCACAUUGACGUUACUCGCAGAAGAAGCACCGGCUAACUCCGUGCCAGCAGCCGCGGUAAUACGGAGGGUGCAAGCGUUAAUCGGAAUUACUGGGCGUAAAGCGCACGCAGGCGGUUUGUUAAGUCAGAUGUGAAAUCCCCGCGCUUAACGUGGGAACUGCAUUUGAAACUGGCAAGCUAGAGUCUUGUAGAGGGGGGUAGAAUUC
rnacentral:rRNA from 1 species